rnacentral:rRNA from 1 species
AACGAACGCUGGCGGCAUGCCUAACACAUGCAAGUCGAACGAGACCUUCGGGUCUAGUGGCGCACGGGUGCGUAACGCGUGGGAACCUGCCUUUAGGUUCGGAAUAACUCAGAGAAAUUUGAGCUAAUACCGAAUAAUGUCUUCGGACCAAAGAUUUAUCGCCUUUAGAUGGGCCCGCGUUGGAUUAGCUAGUUGGUGGGGUAAAGGCCUACCAAGGCGACGAUCCAUAGCUGGUCUUAGAGGAUGAUCA